UUGGUCUUUCUCUCCAGAUCCCCCGCCCAAAUUGCCAAAACUCAAUAACAACCCCCAGAUUCCAGGAACUCGCGAGACUAUAAAUAUGGGAGCAAACCGAGAGAGUACCAGAGGGGUGCGAAGGAGAAGAGAAGUUUCUAAGUUAGAGCUGAAGAACAAAGGAGUUAAUUGGGAGAGGGGUUGGCGGGUUUGUUGCAUCUGUUGUUUAGUAAUUCAACUCGCUGGACUUAUCACGCAAUGAUGCCUAUCAUGAGAUGGAGAAUAUGUCGAUCGAAGAGAUGGUAUUUGUAUGGAGAAAGCAUUGGUUUUGGAGAAAGUUCAUCCUUGAUGAGGCUCUGCACGCCACAAAGGUUGUUGCUACAUUAUUGAAUAUUCAUGGUGAGGCUAUGUUAUUAUGAUCACGAUCGUUGGAUUUAAUAUGAAUUGAUAAAAAAAUAUGAUAUGCAUCAUGACAUUCUCAAUCUUUUGGGAAAAGAAAAAGGUUUUUUUAAUCAUAAAGCUCAAGCUCAAACUCAAUUAAUAUAGGAGAUGUAAUCUAAGCUCGAGCUCAUGGCUUGAUAAACUUGAGUCACAUGGUCAUUAGCACGUCGGAUGGCAUCAAUUACAUCUCAAAUUACUAUUUAUCUUCCUAC